rnacentral:misc_RNA from 1 species
UCAACUUUGCGACUAUUUGAGUGAAAAUUCAUAGUGUAGAGUGUUGAGUUUUUACUCCAUUAUCUAUACAAUCCAUAUCUGUGCUGGUUUUGGGCUCAAAAACAAACAAUUUAGUGUUUGAGUUUCAUUACCUUUCAAUAAACUUGCCAGUGUUUCUUAGUGCAUAAUUUCUUUCCACUUAAACCAAUAUUUGCACUUUCUGUUGCUGUCUGUUAGACAAUUAUGGCAUCACUAAGUCAACAAAAUGCAAUCUGUGAAGUUUAUGAUAAGGAAUUUUCCAGCACAUCUACCAGAAACAGGCAUUGGAAAAAGUUUCACCCUGGAUUUGUUGGGAAGGAACAAAUAAAACACAUUAUAUGUCCAAUGUGUACUAAUGAUAUCCAGACAUUUUCAUAUUUUAACUGUUUAAACAAACAUUUGCUUGAUAUUCACCAUAUAACUGUCAAAGAAUCAAUUUUAAAUUUUAGGAAUUUUGAAGAAUUGACAUCUUGGAGGGCACAAGAUAAUAGAGAAGUAGAUUAUGCUUGUCAGACCCGAAACAAGUUUAAGAAUUGGGAAGAACACAUAUUUUACAAUUGCAACAGGAGCGAUAUCAGAGGAUUUAAUAGCGCGUGCAAAGUGAGAAGUCUGGGGGAAGCAUUUGCAUUCAAGGAACAUGUCAACAAAACCAAACUCAAAUAGCUAUCAGCAUAAAAUUGUAAUAGAAGCCCAUAACAAAGCCGAAAAAAUGAAUGGUAAGGUAGAAUUUUUAGAAUUUGAAAAAUUUAAAGUCAAAGUGUUUCGGUAAGUGGUAAGUUCUAUGUUGUGUCUUGUCAUGAACUAUAUGAUGAGCAAUGUCGCACUGGAUACUGUAACAUCUGUAAAAUAUGUUUUCAUAAAUACAGAUGUGAGUGUCCAGAAAAUUCUGUUAAAACAGUACUUUGUAAACAUAUACAUGCUGUAGGCUGUAGCCAUUUUUGAGCAGAGGAGCGAGUUUGUUGUAGGUUCCCCAACUGUGAGUGAAGAGGAUAAAGUUUUGUUUGUUGAUCAACCCACAACUAGCCAAAUCAAUUAUCAGGAGGAUGUAAACCAUUUUAUUCAGGAGAGUUCAAAAAUGAAAGUCAAUAGUUCUGCAAUGGACUUUGAAGAAAAUCGAGAAAUUGCAUUGCAAGAAAUUUGUAGCUAUGGUAGAAGUUUAGAUAAAAAUGCAUUUGCCAGAUUUAUGGCUGUAAUCAACAAAUUUAAAAAUAAAAAAGUGGACGAAGAAAAUUCUCAGGGCAUUGAAAAGAAAAGAAAAAUUGAAAAACAAAUGUACUAUCAAAAUAAAAAAUAAGCUAGAUUUCUUUGUGUAUUUAAUGGCUAGAUAAUAUUUGAAUUGUAGCUAUUUUUUUAUGUUUGUAUAGCUGUGAAGUUAACAAAAAUAGGAUGUGGUUUGGAAGGUUUUCGUGCAGGUUUCAAAUUGUAAAAACAAAUUUCAAGACGUCAUAAUGGUUUAAAUAACGGUGUUGGUUUCUGUAUAACUAUUUUUAUAUCUUUUAUUUUAAGACUAAAAUGUUAGCUUAUUUUGUAUGUUAAUAUUCAACUAAUCAUUUUCUACAUUUUGUUUGCUAUGUUUUUAAUAUUUUUUAGGGUGCAGAAAAGUUAAUUGGAUUAACUUGAAAUUGACACGGAACGAGGGGGAAGAUCCUCUGUGAGUAUAUAUUUAUUAAUUAAAAUGUAUACAGAGCAGUAAUUUAUUUUCAUGUUACUAUUGAAUGGAAGUUUGAAUGGUUUGGGCUGUAUAUACAUGAGCAUCAGAGAUGACAAAUAAGCUAAAGAAGUGCGAGUCUACAUACUAUAUACCAGAUUAAUACAUUUAGCCUCUUUGCAUUUAAUUUUGAGGUUGUUGAUAUUAAAAAUACCAUAAAUUAUUAUAUUUAAAUAACAAAUAAAUUUAUAGAUUUUUUAUUAUUUGAAAUAAACAAAGUUAAAAUAUAA